CCUACGGGAGGCAGCAGUGAGGAAUAUUGGUCAAUGGACGCGAGUCUGAACCAGCCAAGUCGCGUGAAGGAUGACUGCCCUAUGGGUUGUAAACUUCUUUUAUAAAGGAAUAAAACGCGGCACGUGUGCCUUUUUGCAUGUACUUUAUGAAUAAGGAUCGGCUAACUCCGUGCCAGCAGCCGCGGUAAUACGGAGGAUCCGAGCGUUAUCCGGAUUUAUUGGGUGUAAAGGGAGCGUAGAUGGGUUGUUAAGUCAGUUGUGAAAGUUUGCGGCUCAACCGUAAAAUUGCAGUUGAUACUGGCAGUCUUGAGUACAGUUGAGGUAGGCGGAAUUCGUGGUGUAGCGGUGAAAUGCUUAGAUAUCACGAAGAACCCCGAUUGCGAAGGCAGCUUACUAAACUGUGACUGACAUUGAUGCACGAAAGUGUGGGUAUCGAACAGGAUUAGAUACCCCUGUAGUC
rnacentral:rRNA from 1 species